UGCUUGCGACUGUAGUCUUUAUAGGCAUCGCUAAAAAUGUAACACAUCGUUAGGAAUACGAAUGCUUAUAUUGCAUGAUCUAAGAUAAGAAGAGAGGAUACCAUCCUAUAUGUCUUGUAGCCUCCUAUUUAUAAGUGUGGUGCACAACACAACCAUAAAUAAGACUCUACUAGACAUGGUAUGUAGACAACCCUAGGACAAAACUGCUCUGAUACUACUUUUGUCACGACCCAAACCGAUGAGUCGUGAUGGGUGCCUGACUCCUACAUGUCAAACACCCCUAAGCAUGCGUCUAAGAUAUGAACCUGAAUAACAUUUGCUACAUUACGAAAAUAACAUAUGUGAGAAACCUGCCAUCAAAGCAUAUGUACGUAUACAGACAAAAUACAGUGGGCGAGCCGGUAAGGCUGCUAUAGACAACUAUACAUCCAUAACUGAAAGUCAUCAAGGCCAUAUGCAACCCAACUAGACAUACUGUCUACAGACCUCUAAUGGAAUCAUAAUUGUACAAAGACGGGACUAAGUCACGUCAUACCUAUAUAUAUAUAUAUAUAUAUAUAUAUAUAUAUAUAAAUGUAUCAUGUAUAUAUAUAUAUACACAAACGUAUCAUACCAAACUCAAAAGCAGCUCUGGAUCAAGUGGAGCACGCCAACUUUCGCUGAUCAGGGAUCCUAAGAAGGGGACUGUCAGCUUGCCUACCUGCACCUGCGGGCAUGAAACGUAGGCCCCGUGAAAUAGAGCAUCAGUACAAAAAAUAUAUUGAGUAUGUAAGGCAUGAAAAUAAGUACGUAAAAGACAUAGAUGAAACAUGGAAUACAGAAAUACCUUUAAAUCUGAAUAACUCUGUAAUUUUUGAAACAUUUAUAAUAUCAUGCACAUGCGUAUAAAUGUCAUGCCAUGAAUAGGUAUGGUGUACAUAAUAUCAUCAAGCCACUGAGGGCAUCCCAUCAUAUCAUCUCGGCCACUGUGGGCAAUAUCAUCAACAUAUACUUGAUCGGGUGGUGGUACGUAUAUAACGCCAUAACCUCUUCCCAUAUCCCAUAUACAUAUACAUACAUAUAUACACGUAUAUAACACUGUUUGAAUCAUAUUCCAGUCACUAUGGAUAACAUCAUCAUCAUAUACCAACUGAUCAGGUGGUGGUACGUAUAUAACAUCGUAACCUUUUCCCAUAUCCCAUAAACAUAUAUUUACAUAUUUACGCGUAUAUAACGUCAUCUGGUCAUGGGUAAAAGCAUAUGUAUAAAUGAGUGAAAUGCAUGAAAAAUAAAUAAUAAUCUUGAUAUUCCUUCUGGAUAAACUUUUCCAACUGCGUAUUAUUCUGAGACCCAUGAACAGAAGAUAAUAAUAAUUCUCAUGGGGAAUCAAGAAUAUAGACAUCCCUAAUAUCUCUAUAAAUAGUGUAGUUUAUGGAAACUGUGUAUUUGCUCGUUUCUUCAGUAUAAUUUGGACCAUGCCAAAAAAAAGAAGGGAGGGCCUUAACAUACCUGUUCCCGGAAUGCUUGAACGGAUUGAAGUUUCUACUUCUCUGAAAUAUGUUGAACGAAAUUUGUGGUGCUUUUUUUGAAAUUUCAGUCGAAAUUCUUGAAUUGACUAAGUAAUUGAAUUGUUUGGACGAAAUAUUUGUUGUUUUCCAUGUUUUUGAUUUCAAGCCAAGCUAAUUUAGGCAAGAAUGGACGAAAAGUUUUCUGUUUCUACGUUCUUUGUUUCAAACUAAAAGCAGAUUAUUGUUUUAGGUUCUUUUACCAAGAAAUGACAUCAAGCCUUCAUGGAUAAUGGUUAAGGCUUACAAGAUUCAAGUCUUAUAUAAGACUUUAAGUUUUGGACUCUUUAAACUUAAGACACAUAUACAUAUAUUCAUGAAUCAUUCUUCCCAAUUAGUGGCCUUGUGCCACUUUUUUUUUUUGUAAUUGAUGAAAUUUUGUCCGCUUAUUAGUUAACUGGGUAAUGUUCUGUUACCCGGUAAUUAAUCAAUUACCGGCAUAAUUUAAAAAUUACCACAAAUUACUUAAAAUUCUAUAUAUUUUUAUAAUACUUCAUAUAUAUUUUAUAUAUUAUACUACCAUGGUCAUAUGGUACCUUGCAUGGUACCAGUUCAUAAUUAUCGGGUAUUGUCGCUCAACCCGCAUUUUAUUCCAAAUUGGCCACUUCCAACGAAACUCGUUUUCGUUAAUCAGUGUACCCUUUUAUCCUUCAUAACACAUAUUUAUCGCUUGUUAUAAAUAGCGUAAGUACGUUUACGUCAAGAUAUUCUCAUCCCCGAGUCUACGUCGGUUAACUAAAAGCAAAAUUUUAGCGUACGAAAACACGAGAUGUAACACAUUCAUAUGGGGACCACACACUCCUGCGUGCACUUCAUUCAUUAUUCUUCCGGCCUCUUGGGCGUCCAUACAUCUUAAAAGGUUCAGAUCUGGAGUCCUUUUGUACAAAACCUCGCCACUCAAGAAGAAACCACUAGUAAGCCUUCUAAUGGUUCUCUUUUGGUCUCCACUAGCUUGCUCGGGAUAUUCUUUUGUUUUCAAAAAUCUGUUGAUAUCAUGAUAACAUGGCUGAACAUUUGGUUCCACCUCAACCGUAUUGCAAUAACCAUGUCUUUCUCGAAUUUUGAUUUCCAACGGGUUAAUGUGGACAUUGACUAGAUAUGGCAACAUCAAGGCCAAAGUAGCGAGUGCAUCGGAUAACUCAUUGUGAAACCAAGGAAUGUACCUGAACUCAACUGACUUGAACCGCUUGCUAAGAUCUUCCACAUGUUGCCUAUAUAGAAUAAGCUUGACAUCCCAAGUUUCCCAGUUACCCUGAGCUUGUCGGAUAAUCAAGUCUGAAUCUCUCAUGAUUAACAAUUCUUCCACCUCUUGGUUGAUUGCCAUGUUCAUACCCAUAAUGCAGGCUUCAUACUCGACAGUGUUGUUGGUGCAGAAAAAUCGAAGUCGGGCUGUGGCCGGAUAGUGCUGACCAGUGGGUGAGAUCAAGAUUGGCCCUAUCCCCACAUAUUUUGCGUUCACAGCUCCAUCGAAGAACAUUUUCCAAGCAUUGGUGUCUUCUGAAAUUACCUCAACUGAAUUUACUUCCGCUAAGUGAUCCACUAAAGCUUGAGCUUUCAUUGUCGUGCGGGUGACAUAGACUAUGUCAAACUCGGUGAGCAGGAUUUUCCAUAUUGCUAACCUCCCCAUGGGCAUCGGCUUUUGGAAUAUGUACUUCAAAGGAUCCAACCUGGUGAUGAGAUAGGUGGUACAGGCCAACACGUAAUGCCUAAGCUUCUGAGCGACCCAUGUUAGGGCACAGCAAGUCCAUUCCAAAAAAGUGUACUUGGCUUCGUAACUAGUGAAUUUCUUGUUCAAAUAGUAUAUUGCAUGUUCUUUCUUCCCGGUCGCAUCAUGUUGCCCGAGAACGCACCCAAAGGAAUUCUCCAACACUGUCAAAUACAAAAACAAAAGCCUCCCAGGUUUGGGUGGGACUAAGACUGGCGGAUUCGACAAAUAUUCUUUGAUUUUGUCGAAGGCUUCUUGGCACUCAUCUGUCCAUUUAAUCACUGCAUCUUUCUUCAACAGUUUGAAUAUGGGCUCACAUGUGGAAGUCAACUAUGGACUUUAUAUUUGUUGGACCUAGCUCAAUGCCCCUCUGAUUGACUAUAAAUCCCAAGAGUUUCCCAGACGAAACUCCAAAUGCGCAUUUAGCUGGAUUUAACUUCAAGUUAUACUUAUGCAAAUGCUGAAAGAACUUUCUCAUAUCCCGAACAUGGUCAUCCUACGUUCUUGAUUUAAUGAUUACAUCGUCCACAUACACCUCAAUUUCUUGGUGCAUCAUGUCAUCAAAGAUGGCAGUCAUAGAUCUCAUGAAAUUUGCCCUGGCGUUCUUCAAACCAAAAGGCAUGACCCUAUAACAAUAGGUGCCCUAGUGUGUGGUGAAAGCUAUUUUUUCCGCGUCUUCUUCAUCCAUCAAGACUUGAUGAUAUCCAUCAAAACAAUCCACGAAAGACUGUAUCUCAUGUUUGGCAUAGUUGUCUACAAGGAUGUGGAUGUUUGGCAAAGGGAAGUUGUCUUUGGGACUUGCUUUGUUCAAAUCCCGAUAGUCAACACACACUGGGGUUUUCCCANNNNNNNNNNNNNNNNNNNNNNNNNUUGAUGAUAUCCAUCAAAACAAUCCACGAAAGACUUGUAUCUCAUGUUUGGCAUAGUUGUCUACAAGGAUUGUGGAUGUUUGGCAAAGGGAAGUUGUNUUUGGACUUGCUUUGUCAAAUCCCGAUAGUCAACACACACUGGGGUUUUCCCAUCUUUCUUUGGCACUGGAACCACAUUAGCCAACCACGUAGUGUAUUGGACCAUCCGGAUCACACCCGCUUUUAACUGUUUGGUGAUCUCUUCUUUGAUCUUGUCAGUGAUACCAGUAUUGAACUUCCUUUAUUUUUGCAGGACAGGGGGAUAAUCUGGGUAAGUUGGCAAUUUGUGUACCACUAAAUCAACACUUAGGCCUGUAAUAUCAUCAUAGGACCAAGCAAAUACAUCUUUGAAUUCUAACAAAAGUUGGAUCAAUGUGUCCCUAGUUCUUUCAUCAGUGUGAAUGCUUACCAUGGUUUCUUGGACCUAUUCUGAACUACCCAAGCUAACUGGCUCAGUUUCAUUUAGUUUUGGCUUAGGCUUAUUCUCAAAUUGUUCCAGUUCUCGGUUUAUUUCCCUAAAAGCCUCAUCUUCAUCGUAUUUUGGUUCUUGAUUCAUUAUUUCACAAUGAGAUAGCGCGUUAGGAUAUGGGCAUGAAAUCCACAAGCAUGUCAUGUUAUUUAAGUCCGCAUUAUUAGAACUGAAAGAAUAAAUAAGAAAAAUAACAAAAUUAGAAAGAAUAAAGAAAGAGAUUCAUAGACGAUGAAAUAUUGAUUUCAUUUCAUUGAAUUUGAAGAUAGAAGGGUUUACAUUGGAAUUUUAAUGAUAAUAAACUUAAAGAAAACAUUCGAGUUACACCCUAAAAUAACUCGGAAUGCAGAAAAGGUGGCAAGACUGGACUACUAGGAUUCCCGCCUGACUAGGAACGGAGUAGCCUUCCAAUUUUGCAGCUUGGCAUCGGGCCCCAUAAAUUACACCUCAGCAGUGCUCGAGCCUUCACUCGGGUGGACCAUGUGAGCUUCAUAAAACAUUUGCCUCAUGUCUCCAUAUAUGUCCUCAAUUUCCUCGGCCGUGAGGGCCUCAUCUUCUUUUGUUUCCAUGUACUUUGGCUUGAUGAAUGUUUUGGAGAGAUGCGGUACCGGCUAAGGCAACACCCAACCAUUUCUCUUUCGUUCAUUUGCCCAUGUCACAUCAGAUUCUCUGGCGUGAAAACCCACACCAAAGAACUUCUCACUGGUAGCUAAAGUAAUAGGCUCUGUGAUACCUUACAAAGAUACCCCGAGCCCCUUCCCAGGCUUAUAACCAUGCAUGAUCAUUUCAGUGGUGACCAUGAUUGACGCAUUUGGCAGAAAGGGUUGAGGACAUGGGCUUCCUUCCACACAUUGAUCUGCGACCACAACCUCAAAAGCUUGAUAGACUAUGUGCUCGCUACCUUCCCUAGCCUCGAGACAUGGGACUGAUGGGUCCUGGUAAAUUGAUUGCUCGUCUUCUCCAUUUACCACAAUUUUCUGAUCUUUGUGUUCAAACUUCACUAUUUGGUGGAGAGUAGAAGGUACGGCCCCUGCAGUAUGGAUCCAAGGCCUUCCUAAGAGAAAAAUAUAAGAGGUGUCCAUGUCCAAAACCUGAAACGUCACUUUGAAAUCCAUAGGACCGAUAGUCAAGAUCAAAUCAAUCUCCCAUAUUUUGUCUCUCUUGAUGCCAUCGAAAGAACGCACACAAACAUUGUUAGGCCUGAUUCUCUCAGUCCCAAUUUCCAUUGUUUGCAAAGUUAAGAGAGGGCAUAUGUCGACCCCAGAUCUGCCAUCCAGCAUAACUCUUUUCACAUAGUACCCUUCACACUUAACUGUCAGAUGAAGAUCUUUGUUGUGGGCAACCCCUUCUGGGGGCAAGUCAUUUCUACUAAAUGAAAUCCUGUUGACUUCGAAGAUCGUUCCGCCAUCCUUUCCAGUUUCUCAACAGUGGUUCCAAUCGGAACAUAUGCUUCAUUUCGGGUCUUUAUUAACACUCUCUGAUGCUCAUUCGAGCUUAUCAGUAGAGACAAGAGCGAGAACUGAGAGGGAGACUUCCAGAGUUUGUCAAUUACCUCGUAGUCUGCAAUUUUCAUUUUUCGGAAGAAUUCCUCUGCUUCUUCGACACUGACUGGCCUUUUAAGUAGAAAACGCAUCUGCUUGGCAUUGUUCACUUCUUCUAGAUUGAGGUACUUCCCAUAUGGGUUAGUUUUGUUUACUUCCCUCAUGAUUUAUUUCCCCUUGUACGUCACAAUUGCUUUGUUGUAGUUCCAGGGGACUGCAGUGGGGUCUUUCAUCGGCUUUUGUAGGGCACGGCUAAUGAUCACGGGCUCAUUCAUCCCAGGUGGAAUUAUUGGUCCCCGUGCCACAUAAGUCCCUUUGGGUACAUACAUAUUAGGUCUCUUGUUUAGCUCGAACCUUUUAGGAGGACUCAAUGUGAAUUGUUCUUUUUUGGAGUCCCGAGGAACAUAAAGAAUGGCAUCCUUAGGGGGUACUGCCCUUGUUUUAGUUUCCACCAUCUUUUCUACACUUUGAGGGGCGGAGUUACUCUUCUUCUCCCCCUUGUCUUGCUUUGUAACCACCCUUGGCUUCUUUGCAACAUCGGCGAUGGCAAUGAUGGCUUUCAGAGCUGGGUCAAACUAUUUAUCUUCACAAAUCAUCCCAAUAACUGGCCCGUUGUUGUGAGACGGUAAUGGGUUAUUAGUCACAUUGGGGAUCUCUUCAUAUUUCAGCACUAUCCGUUUUUACUCUAUUAGACUUUCGACCACCCUUUUAAGAGUCCAACAGUCUUUAGUUUCAUGCUCUUCUGCUCCUGAAUGGUAAGCACAUCGAGCACCGUGUCAGUAGGAGGGCGACUCUAGGCUUUGCCUGGUUUGGGGUACGGGUUGCAACAAACCCAUUUGGACCAGUUUAGGAAAAAGGCCAGAGUAUGAUUCACUAAUAGGUGUGAAGUUGGUUCUUCUGGGUGGCUCCCGAGAACAGGCAUUGUAAGGAAAAUUAUUUUGUGGGGGAUGGGGAUUAUAUGGAGCUUGGUGAGGGGGGUUAUUUCUAGGAAGUGGAGCUCGGUUUUGGUUAAACUGUUGUUGUGGCUGAGCAUAUUGCUGGUCAUUCAUCACCGCAUAAGGCUGAGGAGCUAAUGCAUAAGCCACAUCCUGGUAAGGAUAAUAAUGUUGCGGGGUGUUUGGAAGUAAGUAACCUCGGGGUUGACGGGGGUUUCUCAGGCUUGAAGCCACCAUCGCCACUUCUUCUUUCUUCUUUCUGUUUGUUACACCUCCUGACCCGCUCUAGAUUGCUUGGGGCGUAGCUCUUAUAGAAGACUAGCUCAAUAUGCGGCCUGUCUUCAUACCAUUUUCGACCAUCUCCCCAGUUUUGAUAUCCUCAAAAAAUGGCUUUCCCAUUGCAAACAUUAUAUUCUGGAAGUAAUCAGCCUCUUGGGCUUGUAGAAAAACACUAACCAUCUUAGUCUUAUCCAUCGAGGGCUUCACCCUGGCUGCUUGUUAGUUCCACUUAACAGCAUAUUCUCGGAAACUCUCCAAAGACUUCUUUUUGAGAUUAGAUAAGGUAUUUCUGUCUGGAGCUAUGUCUAUGUUGUACUGGAAUUGCCUGACGAAAUCUCGAUCCAAAUCAUCCCUUAUGUGCCAGCGAGACAUGUCUUGAUCCAUGUACCACUCGGAUGCAAUGCCAACUAGACUCUCUCCGAAAUAAGCCAUUAGGAGCUCUUCAUUUUCACCUGCCCCUCUCAAUUUAUUGCAAUACCUCUUGAGGUGGGCUAUAGGAUCCCCAUGCCCAUCAUACUUUUCGAACUUGGGGGUCUUGAAACCGAUGGGCAAAUGAACAUGCGGGAACAUACAUAAAUCAGUGUAGGAUAUGCUCUUUUGGCCACUUAAAUCUUGUAUAUUCUUAAGGCUUUGUUCCAUGCUUCUCAUUUCCUGAGUAAUUUCCUCUUGCUUGGGAUUCUUCGUAGCUUUCUCUUGUCCCGUGGUAAACUCAUACCGGGGUUGUUGAGGGUAAGAAUUGGUGGUGAAAUGGGCAGUAGAAAGGAUGGUACUUGGAAAGUAAAGGAUAAUGGAUCAAAGCUUGGCCUGGGAAAAGUUGGUUGUGCCGUAGCCGAGGUUGGUGGUGCAGUGAAUAUGUUAGAGGCCACUCCUAAAAUUAAUGCCUGGGGGCGAACCUCAGAAGGCAUUCCGGCGAAAUGGGCUGAGAUGGUGGGAUAUCUGAGUGGGGUGUUCGUGUAAUUUAUUGGGAUGUUUGAUGUUACACUUGAUCUGGGAAGUAGCUCAGGGAAACCAGGUAUUGCACUAGGCGGCUCUCUACCGUUGGACCAGGCAUCCCACAUUUCCAACAUUCGGAGGCGCAGUGCCCUAUUCUCUUCAGCAGUCGCCGAUUAUGAUGUUGGGAUAGUCGAUAACGGGAUAUCAUCUGGGAUGGGAAUUGUUUGUAGAUGACUAUCUGACGAUAUUUCGACACUUCUCUUGGAUCUUGUAAAGUAAGGGCGCGAAGCCAGGUUACCACAAACGAACCACCUUAAAAACACAACCUAAACUCACAACAGACACAACAAAAUGGUUAGUUCGAGGCAACUAACACAUAGGGAAUCGCACAUUGGGGGUGUGAUGCACAUAUACAGUUAAAUGUGUUUCUAUAUGUUUUGCAACGAAUGCAUGUCUCAUCCCGACUUUUGUUUAUCUCCCUGAUCUUUUGUCGUGCUCUCUUUUGCACUCUCUUGCUUUUCUCUCUUGUUCUCAUUCUCUUUUUCUUGUUUUCUCUCUUUUCUUCUUUGCUUUUUCCUUUUGGUUUUCUCUUUUCAUCAUUUUCUCUUUUAUUUGAAUUAUUUAUAACCAUGACCGGAUCUGAUGGGGAUUGCCUACGUAUCACGACAUCGCAUGAAUUAGAUCAUCACGUAGUUCAAAAGAUUAAUGUGGAAUAAACAAAUUUUGGUUUUUUUUUCAAAUUUUCAUUAAAACAAAAACUUCUAUUACAAAGACUCGAUCAUACAUACUUAAGACUUGAAAAAUUAAAAUAGACUCAAAACAGACUCUAGUAAUGAAAAUAUAGACUCGAAAGGAGAAAGGAAAACAAUCAGGAGUACAUAAGUGCCUCCAAUCCACCCCUAGGGACACCAAUUGGUCUUGUCGUGGGCCUACGUGCCAUGUCUUCUUGGAGGUGAUAGAGGUCAUCCAUUAUCUGGUGAACAAAGAUCAUUACUGUGGUGAAGAACAUGGACCUGGUCAUGUCCUCACACUCGUUGCACUAUAUCACAAUGUGUCGGCGAUUCUUCUAACCCUUUCGCUGAUGAUGCCCUUUUCUUGUAACAACCACCCAAUCUGCUGAGAUCUAGCCUCCAAAACAUGGGUGACCACAUGAUUCUGUUCUUGCAAAUGUUGUAGGUCCUCCUCUAGCUGUGCCAUCAAAGCGUAACAAUGUUAUCUCUCGGCUUUCAAGCUCUUGGAUUGUUUAGUCAUUUAACCCUCAAGGCUAUUAAGCUCCUUUUUCAAGCCCAUGCCCCUUAUGUCAUAUCUUUCCUUCAACUGUCGAAAAAAAAUUGCCCGUUCUUCUGCAUUUUUGGCCAACUUUGUUCAGGCUUUUGCUAGCUCAGCCUCAGACCUUUGCAAAUCAUCCUCAUAGUCACGUACUUUUUACGUAAGGCUGUAGAUGAGCUUUUCAUAUUUUCUGCUUCUGCCCGAGGUCUCAGCUACUAUUCUCAUCUUUCAAACUUGGGCCUGGAGAGCUUCAUUUUCUUUGGCUAACCUUCUUCUUUCACCUUCAGCUUCUUGUUCAUGUAGAUCAUUAUUGAAUACGAUGUUCCUCAAUUCUUCUUGCAAAGCGUGAAUGGUGGCUUGAUAUUUUUUAUCCUUCUCUCCCCAGACCAACCUUUCUCGGAUUUUAUCAUCAAAAUCUUGAACAUGAGGUCUUUUGGCGGGCCUUUUAGGCUCAGGCUCUGGCUCAUCAUUCGCACAAAACCUUCUCUCAAACCACACAGCAUAAUUUGGAUCCACUUCUCCUCUCGCAAGAUCUGGUACCUAGGUGUCACUUUUUAGAUAUCGGCAACCAUUCCAAUCCUUUUGGACUAAAGCCUCAGGUAGUGUUGCUUAUGGGUGUAGCUCAAUGACUUGGGUACUCAAAUCUACCUCUUCGGGUACCACUUGAUAUCUUCCCAGUUGCCUUAGAACUCUUUGCUGUGCAUAUAGUUGGAUACUCCUCAGGCCCAUCAUCAUCAAGUAGCCUUUUGAAGCUGUCAUAUAUAUGACUUCCGUUACCGGAAGCCAUCCUAUGGUCCAUUCACUUUGACUUGCUUUCAGAGUUCUUAAAUGGGAGACCCAGGCCCCAAACCCUUCUGGAGAUUUGUAGUUUUCACCCUUUCCUCAUAAUUCUUGAUAAAGUUGUUCCUGUUCGAACCAUAACUCAUGAACUUGGGGUGACGGCAGAGAUGUUCGAUCAACCACAUUUGAACCCUCAAAGAAUUGAGCCCCAGAUUUACACAAGGUUAAUGCUCGAUAAAUGUCCACCAGCACUAACGGAACAAGUGUGUGAUCUUUAUUGGAAGUGAAUAUUUGUGCAAUUCUGGCCAUACGAGUAUCUAUUGUCCCUUCUACAUUGGGAAAGACCAUGAUUCCCAGAAACGCCAUAAUGAAAGCAAACUGACGAUGAAUAUGUCAGGUGCUCUUAUCUUGUUCGUUGUUUAAUCCCUUUUCAUGCAUUUCAAACCCAGCUGAGUGCCCGAACCUGAAGUAUAAGAAGUAGAGAGAACAACAUCCCUUGUUUGCAUGGGCCUUCUUCAUUUGCUUACUUAUAUUCAGAAGAUCAAAGAACUUGUGCCCAAAGGGAGCCCUCGGGAAUAUAAGUUAAUGUUUCCUCAUGUCCUAGCCAAAGUCAAUGUAUCCGGCCAUUUCCUCUAGAGUAGGGGUGAGCUCGAAAUUCGAGAAAUGGAACACGUUGUGGACAGGAUCCCAAAAGGUUACCAAAUUUUUGAUUAGAUCCUCCUGGGGUUCGAUGCUCAUGAUGUCUAUAAGGGAACCCAGCUACACUUUUACCCAAUCCUGGCCAUCUUUAUCUUAAUCAUUCCACCACAUGUGGAGCUGCAGUUGAGCCUGUUCUAUGACCAAUUAUGACGGGUUCUAGACAGUAUUCAUUUGUACCUAUGGAGGGUUAAGGUUAGGGUUGACUCUGGUGGACUCUUUUUGCAAAACAAGUUUUUAAUUUCUAAAAGAAAAUCAACGGACAAUGACCCCCCUUAUGCUACUUUAGCAAAAAUGGUCAUUUUGUAAACGUGGCCUCUUCGCAAUUCCAAACAAAUUUUGAGGCCGGGGGAAGGUAUUUUAUGGAAAAAGACACCUUACAUAUAGACUUGCCCAUUCUUCACGAAAAAUAGCCUUUCGACAAUUGGAAGAUAAUCUAAGGCUAUCCCGGCAAGGACGAGUUAAAAUACAACCGAAGCUGGGUCGGCUUAUUCUUUUGACCAAAGCCCUAAACUACACUUUAGUUGAUUAUUUUUGUAAAAAAAAUGAGGCCGAACCUUAUGUGGGUUGCCUACGUAUCCCACAUCCGGUGAGAAUCAGACAUGCGUAGUUCGGUCAAUUUUGACAUAAAAACAUAAUUGUUGGCUCACUUUUUUUAAAAUACAUUUUCCUUUUUCCCUUUUUUCAAAAAGUUUGGCUGAGUUUUGAGACCUUUUCAAAUAUUGGGAUUUUCAGAACCGGGUGAAUUCUCUAUCCUACUUCACUCUUGGUUUUUCUCUUUAUUUCCUUUUCCUAACCGGUCAAUAUGCAAGCCGAAACAAAUAAAUAUUCACAUAGCACAUAGGAUGCAUCAGGAUGGUCUUUAUUUUGGGUACACCUGUGCUAGACGGACCUAACCCCUGUGUUGAGUCCCCAAGGUCUAAUGCACGUGAUGCAAAUAAACGUUCCUACUAGGGAUCCAGCAUGAGGUUAUGUUAUUCUAAGUGUAAACCUAGGGUGUUGUUCUAGACCUGGCUUACUCGAGCGGACAAACUCGAGUCGAGGAGGGGGCAAUGAACCAGGAGCACGAAAGUCUGCCCGACCUUGUUGCUUGUCCAGCCCCGUUCUAUUUGGUAUAACUCUAACAGAAAAGUGGGUCAUGCGAACGUGAGCACCGUUUUUUUAGAAGACUCAGAAGGGAGGCGUAAGAAUACAGUUCAAGUAAUAUCAAAGCGGUAAAUGGCAAUUAGCAAUUAAGUCCACAAAAUACAGUAAUAUCAACAAUAAAGCCAAAUAAAAAUCACAUUAACAAGCUCGAAUUCUUGAACCCCGAACCAGAGAUUCUGGGUUUGAUCCCCAGUGGAGUCUCCAGAGCUAUCACACCUCCUUUUUUCCACCCGAGAGGGCAUAUAUGGGAGUUUUUCCAGUUAAAGUGACAUUAAUCGAGAUGGGAUUAUUUAGUUUAUUAGAGUCGCCACUUGGAAUAAUUUAUUUGGUGUCUCAAGUCACUGGUUUGUUUUGAAUCCCAAAUCAAGGAAGUUUCAAGUUUAUUUAAAGUCUGAGAACCAGAAAUUCUAAGUAAGGAAUUCUGUUAAUCCGGGAGAAGGCGUUAGGCAUUCCCGGGUUCUGUAGUUCUAGCACAGUCGCUUAGUGAUUAUUACUUGGCUUAAAUUGUUUAACUACUUAUUUUUAGGACCUAUGUACAUUUAUCUUUUGACCGCUUUUAAUCACUUGAUUCAUUCGUAAUUAAAGAAUUAAGUUACGCGUACGUAUACUCUUUUCUUUUGGCGCAUCAAAAAUCAUGUCACGCGAACGUGUCCACAAUUAAUAAUGCUUUGUUUAUUUUAUUAAGAAGAGUUUCGUUGAAGUUGCACGAACGCACCCUCGAGUUACUUUUUUUAGAAUUAAAUUCGCAAAUAUGUUACGCGAACAUAUGCAUAAGCACAAUAAUAGUCUGAGUCGAGCCUAAAACAAACUACAAGUGUUUAAGGUUAUUUUAACAUCUAAAUUGUAAUACCAAUAUGAGGGCCAUAGAUGAUUUAAUUAGGAUGGCACACCUCAACCAUUUAAAAGAAUUACACUUAAUGAGGCCUAAGGAUAUUCUUACUUACAACUAUUUUGGAUUUAAAACUAUUGAUUAUGGGUAAGGAAAUAUAAAGCAGCCUGUUAUAUUUUUUUUUUGAAAAAGAACUGGGCCAGUAGCAGGCCCAGUAUACUAUCAAAACAGGCAUUAAAGAAAAAGGGAGUGAAGCCAUCACCAACUGGGCUCCAAAAUUAAGCCCAGACGUGGGACCAAGGGACAAAACUGAAUAUUAGGGGUCCAAUUUGACUAGGAGUCAUGAUUUGGGCCAUCUGCAAGCCUAAUUGCAUUAUUCAGAAUAAACUAUUUAUGAAGAAAAGAUAUGUUGAUGAGGAUUUGGCUCAAAUUUGAGCCUAAAAGAGAGAAACAUGAAUAACUAGAAGUCAACGAGCCUGGCCAUGAUCCAGGCAAUCUCAUUUGGGCCGGAUCCAACCCCAAACUUAGGCACGAAUGCAUCAAACAUUAAGGCCCCACUGAGGCCCACUGACUACAAUGCACAUAUAGCAACAACAUAAUAUGCAGAUUAUGAAAAUUACAACACCAAACAGACUAUGUUAUAAACCUUAAAAUUAUUAUAUUGCUACUAAUGCUAACAACAUGAAAUUGAACUAUGAAACUACUCAUUAACUAUACUACUACAUAUAAACUUGUUCUAUCAAAGUUACAAUUUUGAAAAAUAUACACAUGCUAGGUACAGUGUUUCAAACAUAUGUGAGCCAGCAUUUUUUAUUACAAACAAAUUAUUAGAAACCUAUACUAACUUGAAAUUUUACAUAUUUCAGAACAACCAAACUAGCAGACCUUCAGCAUAUAACAUUUCCUACUAGACAAAUAGCCAUCCAAACACAUCCAAACCACAUCAAUACUACAGAAGACUAAAACUAAUAAAGGUACUGAGAAAACAUGGGAAUAAAAUUAAAAGGGGCGCAUUUCAUUAGAUCUUCAAUUUUCAGCUACAUAUUGCCAAUAGAACGACAGGCUUGCACUUCAAAGAUCAUGUAAAGUCCAAAAAAUACCUGGAUAUUGAAACAAAGCAAAAAGGAAAUGAUAAGUUCAACAAGCAAAGAAGUAUGAGUAAAUCAGCAGCUCAACAGCAAUAUUCAGCUCCUUAGAUCAAUCUUAAACCCAGAAAAACAGAAGUCCUUCGAAAACUUUUAUGUUCUUACUAACAGGGACAAAACAAGGAACAAUUCUCAACCAUUUUCAACCAAAUAAUGUCGAAACUUUAAGUAUUUUUUAGGGUUUGAAUUUCUGAUGUUUCUUUUCAGAACUUUUAGGCAGAAGAUGAUGUUGAAUGUGUGUGUGUGAGUGAGGGAAUGUUUCCCUUUUAUAGAGUGUACAAAAAGGCAUCAAAAAAGCAUAUUCUAACCUAAAAUUCUGAACUUUCAGGAUAGUACAGCAUCUUUUUACAGCUGCUUGUCCUUUUCCUACCCAAUUUCAUCAUCUUUUGCAACAGCUAGGACAGUUGUGCACCUUCUAGAAACUUCUCCUAUUUUCAUACCCUUUUUACUUCUGAAAUUUUACCAUUUACCCAGAAGUUCUGACUUAAUACCUUUUCUUAUUUUAAUUUGAUCCCUUAUCUUAAAUCAAGAAGCUUCUCAUCUAAAAAUCCUACUUCAUAUUUCCAAAUUAACCUGCUAAGUUUUUAAUUGCUCAAUUAAGACCCUAGGAGUUUUUUACCAAUUACAAAUCCUUAACAGACAAAAUCAAAUGGGCAACUAUCAGUAUUUGAAGCAAACAAUCAAAGUUAAAAGGGAAAACAUCUGAAAAUUUUGAAAAAUAAACCUAAUCUCUAAACUGAACCAAAUUCAUAAGAAAAACUUUACAAAGCUUAACAGACUAUUAGUUUAAUGAUGAGCAUGGGCAGACGGGUUAAACAAACAAACAAACAACUUGAAUAACAUUGAACUUAAACUAAUAAUGCACUAAUUAAAACAAAUAACUAACAAUUUAUGCUAAUCAUGCCGUCAGAGAAAACCAAAAGGGAA
rnacentral:lncRNA from 1 species